CCUACGGGAGGCAGCAGUGGGGAAUAUUGGACAAUGGGGGCAACCCUGAUCCAGCCAUGCCGCGUGUGUGAAGAAGGCCCUCGGGUUGUAAAGCACUUUCAGUGAGGAAGAACGCCUGGUGGUUAAUACCCAUCAGGAAAGACAUCACUCACAGAAGAAGCACCGGCUAACUCCGUGCCAGCAGCCGCGGUAAUACGGAGGGUGCGAGCGUUAAUCGGAAUUACUGGGCGUAAAGCGCGCGUAGGUGGCUUGAUAAGCCGGUUGUGAAAGCCCCGGGCUCAACCUGGGAACGGCAUCCGGAACUGUCAAGCUAGAGUGCAGGAGAGGAAGGUGGAAUUCCCAGUGUAGCGGUGAAAUGCGUAGAGAUCGGGAGGAAUACCAGUGGCGAAGGCGGCCUUCUGGACUGACACUGACACUGAGGUGCGAAAGCGUGGGUAGCAAACAGGAUUAGAUACCCUAGUAGUC
rnacentral:rRNA from 1 species